rnacentral:rRNA from 1 species
ACGCUCGACACCUACGGAGGCAGCAGUCGGGAAUAUUGCGCAAUGGAGGAAACUCUGACGCAGUGACGCCGCGUAUAGGAAGAAGGUUUUCGGAUUGUAAACUAUUGUCGUUAGGGAAGAUACAAGACAGUACCUAAGGAGGAAGCACCGGCUAACUAUGUUCCAGCAGCCGCGGUAAUCUGAGCGGGCUGGCAAGGC